rnacentral:rRNA from 1 species
UACGUAGGGGGCUAGCGUUGUCCGGAAUCAUUGGGCGUAAAGCGCGUGUAGGCGGUUCGGUAAGUCCGCUGUGAAAGUCGGGGGCUCAACCCUCGAAAGCCGGUGGAUACUGUCGGGCUAGAGUACGGAAGAGGCGAGUGGAAUUCCUGGUGUAGCGGUGAAAUGCGCAGAUAUCGUAAGGAAGACCAGUGGCGAAGGCGGGUCUCUGGACAGUUCCUGACGCUGAGGCGCGAAGGUCAGGGGAGCAAACGGG